ACCGUGCAAAGGUAGCAUAAUCAUUAGUUUUUUAAUUGAAAGCUGGUAUGAACGGUUGGACGAGAAAAUAACUGUCUCAAUUUAAUUGUAUGUAGAAUUUUAUUUAUAAGUAAAAAAGCUUAUAUAAUUUUAAAAGACGAGAAGACCCUAUAGAGUUUUAUAAUUUUUUAUAUUAAUUAGGUUUAGUAUGUUUAUAUUUUUGAUAUAAAAAAUUAUUUUGCUGGGGCAGCAGAAAAAUUUAUUAAACUUUUUUUAAUUGUUUAACAUUGAUUUAUGAUUUAAUGAUCCAUUUUUUAUGAUUACAAGAUUAAAUUACCUUAGGGAUAACAGCGUAAUUUUUUUUUAGAGUUCUUAUCGAAAAAAGAGUUU
rnacentral:rRNA from 2 species